rnacentral:rRNA from 1 species
UUGUCUCAAAGAUUAAGCCAUGCAUGUCUCAGUACGAGCCACAUUAAGGUGAAACCGCGAAAGGCUCAUUAAAUCAGUUAUGGUUCCUUAGAUCGUACCCACAUUUACUUGGAUAACUGUGGUAAUUCUAGAGCUAAUACAUGCAGAUAGAGCUCCGACCGGAGACGGAAGGAGUGCUUUUAUUAGAACAAAACCAAUCGGCGGCGGGCGCGUUCGCGCGUCCGUUCGCCGCUCUACCUGGUGAAUCUGAAUAACUUUCAGCUGAUCGCACGGUCUCGCACCGGCGACGCAUCUUUCAAAUGUCUGCCUUAUCAACUGUCGAUGGUAGGUUCUGCGCCUACCAUGGUCGUAACGGGUAACGGGGAAUCAGGGUUCGAUUCCGGAGAGGGAGCCUGAGAAACGGCUACCACAUCCAAGGAAGGCAGCAGGCGCGCAAAUUACCCACUCCCGGCACGGGGAGGUAGUGACGAAAAAUAACGAUACGGGACUCAUCCGAGGCCCCGUAAUCGGAAUGAGUACACUUUAAAUCCUUUAACGAGGACCCAUUGGAGGGCAAGUCUGGUGCCAGCAGCCGCGGUAAUUCCAGCUCCAAUAGCGU